GACGAACGCUGGCGGCGCGCUUAACACAUGCAAGUCGAGCGAGAACCAGGGCUUCGGCCCUGGGGACAGCGGCGAACGGGUGAGUAACACGUGGAUAACCUGCCCUCGGCACCGGGAUAGCCCGGGGAAACUCGGAUUAAUACCGGAUGGCCCUUCCGGCUCACGAGCCGGUCGGAAAAGGUAGCUUCGGCCUCCGGCCGAGGAUGGGUCCGCGGCGGAUUAGCUUGUUGGUGGGGUAACGGCCUACCAAGGCUCCGAUCCGUAGCUGGUCUGAGAGGACGAUCAGCCACACUGGGACGGAGCAACGGCCCAGACUCCUACGGGAGGCAGCAGUGGGGAAUCAUGCCCAAUGGGCGAAAGCCUGAGGCAGCGACGCCGCGUGAGUGAUGAAGGCCUUCGGGUCGUAAAGCUCUGUCGGAGGGAACGAAUGCUCUUGAGGUUAACAGCCUCGGGAAGUGACGGUACCCUCAAAGGAAGCACCGGCUAACUCUGUGCCAGCCGCCGCCGUAAUAC
rnacentral:rRNA from 1 species